rnacentral:rRNA from 1 species
GUUAGGAAUAUUGGACAAUGGACGCAAGUCUGAUCCAGCCAUGCCGCGUGAGUGAUGAAGGCCUUCGGGUUGUAAAGCUCUUUAGCCGAUGAUUAUAAUGACUGUAGUCGGAAAAUAAGCCCCGGCUAACUUCGUGCCAGCAGCCGCGGUAAUACGAAGGGGGCGAGCGUUAUUCGGAAUCACUGGGCGUAAAGCGUGCGUAGGCUGUUUUGUAAGUUGGGAGUGAAAGCCCAGGGCUCAACGCUGGAAUUGCUCUCAAAACUACAAGACUUGAAUUCGGGAGAGGAUAGCGGAAUUGUCAGUGUAGCAGUGAAAUGCGUAGAUAUUGACAGGAACACCAGUGGCGUAAGCGGCUAUCUGGACCGACAUUGACGCUGAGGCACGAAAGCGUGGGGAUCAAACAGGAUUAGAUACCCGGGUAGUCC